UACGUAGGGUGCAAGCGUUGUCCGGAAUUAUUGGGCGUAAAGAGCUCGUAGGCGGUCUGUUGCGUCGGCUGUGAAAACCCGGAGCUCAACUCCGGGCCUGCAGUCGAUACGGGCGGACUAGAGUUCGGCAGGGGAGACUGGAAUUCCUGGUGUAGCGGUGAAAUGCGCAGAUAUCAGGAGGAACACCGGUGGCGAAGGCGGGUCUCUGGGCCGAUACUGACGCUGAGGAGCGAAAGCGUGGGGAGCGAACAGG
rnacentral:rRNA from 1 species